GAUGAACGCUGGCGGCGUGCCUAAUACAUGCAAGUCGAGCGAACGGACGAGAAGCUUGCUUUUCUGAUGUUAGCGGCGGACGGGUGAGUAACACGUGGAUAACCUACCUAUAAGACUGGGAUAACUUCGGGAAACCGGAGCUAAUACCGGAUAAUAUUUUGAACCGCAUGGUUCAAAAGUGAAAGACGGUCUUGCUGUCACUUAUAGAUGGAUCCGCGCUGCAUUAGCUAGUUGGUAAGGUAACGGCUUACCAAGGCAACGAUGCAUAGCCGACCUGAGAGGGUGAUCGGCCACACUGGAACUGAGACACGGUCCAGACUCCUACGGGAGGCAGCAGUAGGGAAUCUUCCGCAAUGGGCGAAAGCCUGACGGAGCAACGCCGCGUGAGUGAUGAAGGUCUUCGGAUCGUAAAACUCUGUUAUUAGGGAAGAACAUAUGUGUAAGUAACUGUGCACAUCUUGACGGUACCUAAUCAGAAAGCCACGGCUAACUACGUGCCAGCAGCCGCGGUAAUACGUAGGUGGCAAGCGUUAUCCGGAAUUAUGGGGCGUAAAGCGCGCGUAGGCGGUUUUUUAAGUCUGAUGUGAAAGCCCACGGCUCACCGUGGAGGGUCAUUGGAAACUGGAAAACUUGAGUGCAGAAGAGGAAAGUGGAAUUCCAUGUGUAGCGGUGAAAUGCGCAGAGAUAUGGAGGAACACCAGUGGCGAAGGCGACUUUCUGGUCUGUAACUGACGCUGAUGUGCGAAAGCGUGGGGAUCAAACAGGAUUAGAUACCCUGGUAGUCCACGCCGUAAACGAUGAGUGCUAAGUGUUAGGGGGUUUCCGCCCCUUAGUGCUGCAGCUAACGCAUUAAGCACUCCGCCUGGGGAGUACGACCGCAAGGUUGAAACUCAAAGGAAUUGACGGGGACCCGCACAAGCGGUGGAGCAUGUGGUUUAAUUCGAAGCAACGCGAAGAACCUUACCAAAUCUUGACAUCCUUUGACAACUCUAGAGAUAGAGCCUUCCCCUUCGGGGGACAAAGUGACAGGUGGUGCAUGGUUGUCGUCAGCUCGUGUCGUGAGAUGUUGGGUUAAGUCCCGCAACGAGCGCAACCCUUAAGCUUAGUUGCCAUCAUUAAGUUGGGCACUCUAAGUUGACUGCCGGUGACAAACCGGAGGAAGGUGGGGAUGACGUCAAAUCAUCAUGCCCCUUAUGAUUUGGGCUACACACGUGCUACAAUGGACAAUACAAAGGGCAGCGAAACCGCGAGGUCAAGCAAAUCCCAUAAAGUUGUUCUCAGUUCGGAUUGUAGUCUGCAACUCGACUACAUGAAGCUGGAAUCGCUAGUAAUCGUAGAUCAGCAUGCUACGGUGAAUACGUUCCCGGGUCU
rnacentral:rRNA from 1 species